GUCCAGGUUAGGUCAGUUGGUAGAGCAUGAGACUCUUAAUCUCCAGGUCGUGGGUUCGAGCCCCACGUUGGGCG